rnacentral:rRNA from 1 species
GCUGCACAUAGAAGCGUGCCGGGAUUAAGUGCACUCGAAUUUUUCGCCUGGGUUUUUCAGUUUAAACAACUGGGAGAAUAAGGGCUGGGUAAAGAACGGUGCCAGCCCGCCCGGGUAACACCGGCGGGCCCGACUGGGUGGCCGUUAUUAUUUGGGGCUUAAAGCCGCCCGUAGCCGGGAUGGGGUAAGAUUUUCUGGGUGAAAUCCCUCAGCCUAACUGGGGGGGCGAGCCGGAAAAGACCGCCGUUCUUGAGACUGGUAAGAGGUAGGGGGUAGGCCUUGGGUAUGUGGGGCAAAAUCCUUAUAAUCCAAUGGGAGUGACCACCGGGUGGGCGAAUGUGCGCCCUACUAAAAACAUGGUCCGACGUUGAGGGACGAAGGCUAGUGGGAGCGAACGGGAUUAAGAUACCCCGGUAGUCCUAGCUGUAAACUAUGCGAGCCAGGUCUGUCGAUUCCUACGGGGGAUUGAUGGGCCGAAUUGAAAAAGUUAAGCUCGCCGCCUGGGGAGUAUGGUCGCAAGACUGAAACUUGAAGGAAUUGGCGGGGGGGCACCACAAGGGGUGAAACUUACGGUUUAAUUUGGAUUCAACGCCGGAAAACCUCACCCGAGCCAACGGCAGGAUGAUGGUCAGGCUGAAGGUCUUACCAGACAAGCCGAAGGGAGGUGCAUGGCCGCCGACAGCUCGUGUCGUGAGAUGUCCGCUUAAGUGCGGCAACGAGCGAGACCCGCACUCUCAGUUGCAACCCGAGUCUUCGGACGAGGAGCACUCUGUGAGGACCGCCAUCGAUGAGAUGGAGGAAGGCGCGGGCGACGGUAGGUCAGUAUGCCCCUAAUGCUCGGGGCUACACGCGAGUUGCAAUGGCCAGGACAGUGGGCUGCGACUCCGAAAGGAGAAGCCAAUCCCCUAAACCUGGUCUCAGUUCGGAUUGAGGGUUACAAAUCACCCCCAUGAAGCUGAAUCCCCAUAAUCGCGUCAGACACCCGUAAGUC